rnacentral:rRNA from 1 species
UACGUAGGGUGCAAGCGUUGUCCGGAAUUAUUGGGCGUAAAGAGCUCGUAGGCGGUCUGUCACGUCGGCUGUGAAAUCCCCGAGGCUCAACCUCGGGUCUGCAGUCGAUACGGGCAAACUAGAGUAUUGCAGGGGAGACUGGAAUUCCUGGUGUAGCGGUGAAAUGCGCAGAUAUCAGGAGGAACACCGGUGGCGAAGGCGGAUCUCUGGGCCAUUACUGACGCUGGAGGAGCGAAAGCCGUGGGGGAGCGAACAGG